GGGGAAAAAUUAAUAAAAUUAUAAAUAAAAAAAAAAUUUUUAAUAAUAUAUUUUAAGGGGUUGAAGUAUUAUUAUGAAAAAAUUGAAAAAUUUAUAGUGGAUUAGUAUUGUAAAAGAAGUUUGAAAUAAUGUUGAAAAUAAAUUUAUUUUAAAGUAAAUUUAAUUUAUUGUAUCUUGUGUAUCAGAGUUUAUUAAAAAGAUUUUUUAAAUAAAAAAUUCUCGAAUUUAAAAGAGUUAAUUAAUUAAUUAAGUUAAUGUGGAAUAAUUAUUUUUAAUAAUUAAUUAGAAAUGAAAUGUUAAUCGUUUUUAAAUAUAUCUAGUUUUUUUAGAAAAAAAUUUAAUUUUAAAUAUAAAUGAUAAUUUUAUAUAUUUAUAUAAAAUUAUAAUUUAUAUUAAAUAUUUUAAGGGAUAAGCUUUAAAAUAAAUUUUUAUAAUAAAUAUUGAAAUAAAUUAAAAAUUUUAAAAUUUAUAUUGUUUAAAAAUUAUAAUUUUUUAUAAAUAAUUUUAAUUAAAAUUAAAAUUUAAUUGUUGUUUAAAUUUUUAUAAAAAAAUAAUUUUUAAUAAAAAAAAAAUUAAUUAUAAUGAUAAAAUUAGUAUAUAAAUUGUAUUAAAAUUAAUAUAAUUAUAAAAAUUUAAUUAAAGGAAUUCGGCAAAUAUUUAUAUCCACUUGUUUAUCAAAAACAUGUCCUUUUGAAAAUAAUAUAAGGUCUAGUCUGCCCACUGAUAAAUUUAUUAAAGGGCUGCAGUAUUUUGACUGUACAAAGGUAGCAUAAUCAUUAGUCUCUUAAUUGGUGACUUGUAUGAAGGAUUUGAUGAGAUAUAUACUGUCUCUAAUUAAAUUAUAAAAUUUAAUUUUUUAGUAAAAAAGCUAAAAUAAUUUUAAAAGACGAGAAGACCCUAUAGAGUUUAAUAAUUAUUUUAAUUUUUUUUUUUUAUGAAAUUUUUAAUUAAAAUUAAUUUUAUUAUUUUAUUGGGGUGAUAGAAAAAUUAAAAUAACUUUUUUUAAAAUUUAAACAUUAAUAUAUGAUUAAUUGAUCCGUUUUUUACGAUUAUAAGAAAAAAUUACCUUAGGGAUAACAGCGUAAUUUUUUUUUUUAGUUCGAAUAAAAAAAAAAGUUUGCGACCUCGAUGUUGGAUUAAGAUAAAAUUUAAGUGCAAAAGUUUAAAAUUUUUGAUCUGUUCGAUCAUUAAAAUCUUACAUGAUCUGAGUUCAAACCGGUGUAAGCCAGGUUGGUUUCUAUCUUUAGAGAAAUAAAAUAUCUUAGAGUACGAAAGGAUUAGAUAUUUGAAAUAAUUUUAAUUAGGAGAAUUUUAUUAAUAUUAAAUAAUAAAUUUAACUAUUUUGGCAGAAAAAUGUAAU
rnacentral:rRNA from 1 species